GCAGCUGCCUUGUAGCAGCAGGUCGCCGGUAUAGUAGAGCUUAAUCGGCGUUGCUUUGUUCGCUAGGGUCGACAAAGGGACAAGAAGCGCGAGCGGUGAGAGCACCGCACCGUACAACAAGCUGCUGCUGCAUGCAGGCGUCGGUUGCUGGAGCCUCAACAACAAGAGCAGUGGGUGAGUGUCGUGACCGAUGGGUAGAGCGCAGUUGACAAAGUACUGGAAGCAAACAUGUUGCUUCGCUCUGGACGCAGGACCUUGUAAAGAUGCCAAUGGAGGGACUCUCCAUUGCGGCGUGGUGGGAACAGGAGCCAGCAGGCUUGCCCAAGAAGCUGCGCAGGACAAAGGCAUCAAUAAUGAUGUACACCGCUUGGAACCUAUGCAAGGAAAGGAACCGGCGCAUUUUUUAGCACACUUCCUCAGACACAGUUCGAGUACUUCAGGAGAUCAAGGGGAGGUUUUAGUUCGGAAGCUCGCUUGUGGCGGGCCAGUGAUUCCCUUUUUAUCAUGAUAUUUGCUUUCUUAAUGCUUGUUUUAGGGUCUCAGAGUCUCGAGUUCAUACUGUUUUUUUAAUAACAACGUUGUACUAAACUUGCUUGCUUCUUCUUCUUA